rnacentral:rRNA from 1 species
UACGAAGGGGGCUAGCGUUGUUCGGAUUUACUGGGCGUAAAGCGCACGUAGGCGGAUCGUUAAGUCAGGGGUGAAAUCCUGGGGCUCAACCCCAGAACUGCCUUUGAUACUGGCGAUCUCGAGUCCGGAAGAGGUGAGUGGAACUCCUAGUGUAGAGGUGGAAUUCGUAGAUAUUCGCAAGAACACCAGUGGCGAAGGCGGCUCACUGGCCCGAUACUGACGCUGAGGCACGAAAGCGUGGGGAGCAAACAGG